CAGCCGAGGGAGGGAGGGGAGGGGAGAGAGCGAGGGGAGGAGAGGGGAGGGAGGUGGGGGGUAGGGUGGCUAAAAGGAGGAGGGGUUGAGCGAGGAAACGCGCACACAUGCAUGCAUACACGCUCAGAGACAGGCCCCGCCCCCUACCUCGUUUUUCCCGUAGCCUACCCUCAGCCUCGGACCUCCCUCUCUCUUCCCCUCCCACCUCCCCCUUCCUCCCUCCUGCA